rnacentral:tRNA from 1 species
AUUAUCUUGGCAGAUGAAUGCGUUAGAUUUAGGAUCUAUUUAUAUAGUUAUACUCUAUAGGUAAUA